rnacentral:rRNA from 1 species
UAAGGCUAAAUAUCUCCACAGAACCGAUAGCGAACAAGUACCGUGAGGGAAAGUUGAAAAGCACUCUGGAGAGAGAGUCAAAAGACCGUGAAACCGCUCAGAGUAUAAGCCCAUGGCAGCUUGGAAGGCAUAUCGCUAGCGGGGCAUCGGUCUUCCUUCACGGGGAGCUGGUGUUACCUUGCUUCUGUUGUGGCUCGUCACGGUAGGGGGGUCAAGUCCACAUCCCGCCGACGUGUGGGGAGUUCUCGGGCGUGUUGGGUUUUUCGGUCGGCUUCGGUUGGCCGUUUCAGCCCUUCGCGCUUGGUUCUCUUUCAACACGGACGUUCAGACUCAGAGGCAAGACGCGAUAAACAGCCCACCACGGCACGUUGUGAGGUCACCCACAGGCUCGACUUUUGAUUGUGGUCCUUGACGCCGAGCAAGCACAAUGCGUGUCGCAGAUGUUCCUAACCAGGCGACGCCUGGAUCGUGGAACGACACGCGCUCAACAGUCAGGACCGGGCUAUGACAGAGUUCUGGUAUGAUCCUCUUGCGACGAGCCGGCUUCUGGCCAAAUUCCGAUGCUCAGGUCUCUCGCAUGUGCCGCGGGAGAUCGCCUCGACGGUCUGGAACUUGAACGAGUCCUCUCAGUCGGGCAACGGAAAGAGUGGUGUAAAGUCCAAGCCCAUCGGUCACGUCUCGAAACACGGGCCA